GUAUAAUUCAGUUAUCUGUUAUCCUGCUGCCCACCAUAAUAAUCGAUAUAUGUAUUUAUACUGCGAAUAUUUGCACUUCAUGAGCUGUUCACAAUUAGUUACAAGUUUAUAAUACCCUCUGCUAGAGUAUAAGAAGACUUCAUUUCACUUAGCGCACGCAUUGUUGGCAAACUAGGAGCGCGCGGGCAGCCCCCUCGCUAAUGCUAGAAACGGCGACUGCCUGCCAGGCUUAUACGUAUGUAUAGUUUUCCGAGCGACUGCACACGGCAAACACGGCAAUGCAUCCGCCUCACAUCCCCCCGCAGUCGUCUGUACACAAUCAGGGCGAGCGCGCGCUCAGCUGCCGUUGUUGCAACAAGGUGUAAACAUGGCCAGCGCGUGUCCUAGGAGAGUGGCGCGCACUUGAUGUCUCAUUACCGGACGACGGCACACACACACAGGUUAAUGAUGCGCACUCUGUGCCCGCGCCCGGACGUCACAAUUAUGCGAGGCACUUGAGCUUGAAGCGACUGCACAGGGUCAGCUCCACGAUGUCGUUUCAUUGACCUUUGACGACUGCCAAAAAAAAAACUGAAUUCAAAUGCCAUAGAGCGGGGUCUCGCCGCCUGGCCCAAAAGCAAACAUUGCCAGCUCUGUUUUUAGUGCCGUCAUAAAUGUCAGCAGUCGCUACACAAUGUGCGGCAACUAAUUUGAUUUCAAACCUGGCCACUUGACUAAUGAGCGGAGCACGAGGUCUAUAACUGCACCUAAAACACGGAGCAGGACGCCUAACUCACAAUUACCCGAACGUGGCAAUACUCUGUUCAAAGUUUGAUAACAGCCUUAAUCAGAGGAAAAGAUUCUGUUUGAGCUUACUAUAAAUAUGUAAGCCUGACUGGCUAACUUUAAGACUGUAAGCCGAAGACAAUGGCUUUUAAAUUGUGACCAGAAAAUAUUCGUUGGAUGUGGGCGUGGUGGCAAUAUUUUGGCUAAAUCUUUAAAAUAGAUCAUAAUUAGUCUACCUGGCUGUAGACUAGCUCUAGCUCUUAAACUGCGGCAGAUAACAAGGCCGCAAACUGGAUUUAA